CGAGGCGAACCGGGGAAACUGAAACAUCUCAGUACCCCGAGGAAAAGAAAUCAACCGAGAUUCCCCCAGUAGCGGCGAGCGAACAGGGAGCAGCCCAGAGUCAACAUCAAUAUUUACCGCAGGAGAAAGAUCUGGAAAGGCCGGCAAUAAAGGGUGAUAGCCCCGUAUCUGAAGCGGUAAGUGUUGUGAACUCGAAGAGUAUGGCGGGACACGUGUUAUCCUGUCUGAAUAUGGGGGGACCAUCCUCCAAGGCUAAAUACUCCUGACUGACCGAUAGUGAACCAGUACCGUGAGGGAAAGGCGAAAAGAACCCCGGCGAGGGGAGUGAAAUAGAACCUGAAACCGUGUACGUACAAGCAGUGGGAGCACCCGAAAAGGUGUGACUGCGUACCUUUUGUAUAAUGGGUCAGCGACUUAUAUUCUGUAGCAAGGUUAACCGCAUAGGGGAGCCGUAGGGAAACCGAGUCUUAACUGGGCGUUAAGUUGCAGGGUAUAGACCCGAAACCCGGUGAUCUAGCCAUGGGCAGGUUGAAGGUUGGGUAACACUAACUGGAGGACCA
rnacentral:rRNA from 1 species